GGGGCAAUCUAUAAUUUUAUGUCCUUUCUGUCUACAGCUAAAAUAAGAACCAGUAUUCCAUGGGCAAUUAGAAGACUCGUGCUCUUUUCGGCCACAUCUCGAACAUCUAGCUGUCUCAUUCUCAUGAUUCUUAUCAUUUGCUGGCUUCUUUGCUAGACCCUUAUUGUUCUGAUUUCGUCCUUGAGUUCCACCAAACCUAUUUCUCU
rnacentral:lncRNA from 1 species